GUGAAAAAGUAAGCGAUCCAGAAACGUUUAAAUAUUUUCAACGCAGAAGGUUCGUUAAAAUUGUGAAUAUUUCGAAGUGAAAAUAUUUUUCUAUUUAGAUAUACGUUACGGAUGAAAUAGGAUAUAAAAAUAUUUUUUCAAACUUUGAAGAUUUUCCAAUCCAAAGCCGGCUUGUAAUAACAAUCUCUGACCACUACUCCACAUCCCGGAAGUUCAUUUUUGACCGAACUAGAAUCAACUGCGGAAUAAUAGGCUUUUCUUUACGGAACUGUGAUUAAAUAUUUUAAGGUGUGUGGUUACAGGCUUUUGUGUGAGACUUUGAAAGUUGGGUAGGCGACUCUAGACCGAG
rnacentral:lncRNA from 1 species